AAAGCUCCGGGCUUAACUCGGAGAUGUCGUUCAAUACUGCGGGGGCUUGAGGACAGCAGAGGAAGGUGGAUUCCCGGUGUAGUGGUGAAAUGCGUAGAUAUCGGGAGGAACACCCGUGGCGAAGGCGGCCUUCUGGGCUGUUCCUGACGCUGAAGGCGAAAGCUAGGGGAGCGAACGGGAUUAGAUACCCCGGUAGUCCUAGCUGUAAACGAUGGAUGCUGGGUGUGGGGGGUGUAAAUUCCCUCUGUGCCGAAGCAAACGCGUUAAGCAUCCCGCCUGGGGACUACGGCCGCAAGGCUAAAACUCAAACGAAUUGACGAGGGCCCGCACAAGCAGCGGAGCGUGUGGUUUAAUUCGAUGCUACACGAAGAACCUUACCUGGGUUUGACAUGCACGUGGUAGGGAACCGAAAGGGGACCGACCUUCGGGAGCGUGCACAGGUGCUGCAUGGCUGUCGUCAGCUCGUGCCGUGAGGUGUCGGGUUAAGUCCCGUAACGAGCGCAACCCUUGUCCUUAGUUACAAGUGUCUAAGGGGACUGCCCGGGACAACUGGGAGGAAGGUGGGGAUGACGUCAAGUCAGCAUGGCCUUUAUAUCCAGGGCUACACACACGCUACAAUGGCCGGUACAAUAGGUUGCGAAGUCGUGAGGCGGAGCCAAUCCUCAAAGCCGGUCUCAGUUCGAAUUGCAGUCUGCAACUCGACUGCAUGAAGCUGGAGUUGCUAGUAAUCGCAGGUCAGCUAUACUGCGGUGAAUACGUUCCCGGGCCUUGUACACACCGCCCGUCACGUCAUGGAAGCUGGCAACGCCUGAAGCCGGUGAGCUAACCCGAAAGG
rnacentral:rRNA from 1 species